GUAGGUGGCAAGCGUUGUCCGGAAUUAUUGGGCGUAAAGCGCGCGCAGGUGGUUCUUUAAGUCUGAUGUGAAAGCCCCCGGCUCAACCGGGGAGGGUCAUUGGAAACUGGGGAACUUGAGUGCAGGAGAGGAAAGUGGAAUUCCACGUGUAGCGGUGAAAUGCGUAGAUAUGUGGAGGAACACCAGUGGCGAAGGCGACUUUCUGGCCUGUAACUGACACUGAGGCGCGAAAGCGUGGGGAGCAAACAGGGAUUAGAUACCCUGGUAGUCCACGCCGUAAACGAUGAGUGCUAGGUGUUGGGGGGGUUUCCCGCCCCUCAGUGCUGCAGCUAACGCAUUAAGCACUCCGCCUGGGGAUACGGUCGCAAGACUG
rnacentral:rRNA from 1 species